rnacentral:rRNA from 1 species
AGAGUUUGAUCAUGGCUCAGGAUAAACGCUGGCGGCGCACAUAAGACAUGCAAGUCGAACGGAAGUCGUUAUAAAAGGAGUGAAGAUUUAUCGGAGCGAAUUUUGUAACAAAGGCUUUAGUGGCGGACUGGUGAGUAACGCGUAAGGAAUCUACCUAUUAGAGGGGAAUAACAAUGAGAAAUCAUUGCUAAUACCGCAUAUGCCAUAGGCAUCGCAUGGUGCUAGUGGGAAAGGAGAAAUCCACUAAUAGAUGAGCUUGCGUCUGAUUAGUUAGUUGGUGGGGUAACGGCCUACCAAGACGAUGAUCAGUAGCCGGACUGAGAGGUUGAACGGCCACAUUGGGACUGAGAUACGGCCCAGACUCCUACGGGAGGCAGCAGUCGGGAAUAUUGCGCAAUGGAGGAAACUCUGACGCAGUGACGCCGCGUAUAGGAAGAAGGUUUUCGGAUUGUAAACUAUUGUCGUUAGGGAAGAAAUAAAUGACAGUACCUAAGGAGGAAGCUCCGGCUAACUACGUGCCAGCAGCCGCGGUAAUACGUAGGGAGCGAGCGUUAUCCGGAUUUAUUGGGUGUAAAGGGUGCGUAGACGGGCAUGCAAGUUAGUUGUGAAAUCCCUCGGCUUAACUGAGGAACUGCAACUAAAACUGUAAGUCUUGAGUGCAGGAGAGGUAAGUGGAAUUCCUAGUGUAGCGGUGAAAUGCGUAGAUAUUAGGAGGAACACCAGUGGCGAAGGCGACUUACUGGACUGUAACUGACGUUGAGGCACGAAAGUGUGGGGAGCAAACAGGAUUAGAUACCCUG